UACGUAGGGUGCAAGCGUUGUCCGGAAUUAUUGGGCGUAAAGAGCUCGUAGGCGGUUUGUUGCGUCUAUCGUGAAAACCUGCAGCUUAACUGUGGGCUUGCGGUGGAUACGGGCAGACUUGAGUUCGGUAGGGGAGACGUGGAAUUCCUCGGUGGUAGCGGUGAAAAUGCGCAGAUAUCAGGAGGAACACCGGUGGCGAAGGCGGGUCUCUGGGCCGAUACUGACGCUGAGGAGCGAAAGCGUGGGGAGCGAACAGG
rnacentral:rRNA from 1 species